UAAGAACUCAAAGCAGAAGUGACCAGGGAGCCCAGGAUAUGAGGCCUUCCCCUCAGAAACUUUGUUGAAACCGCUCAGUGUCUGUGGAAUGUUCUGGGUCUGACUAAAUAGCAUAUUGAGUGAUACUGUGAAGAUACUGGCAAGAAGAAUAACAAAGCUGUUGAAGCCUUCUUUGGAAACAUGAUAAAGAAGCAAAAAGGCACACC